CUAUCAAAAUGCUCAAUCCAAAAUUUGAGGAGAACUUUGUUAAGGGCAGAGACUAUGAUCCAGAUCGGGAACGAGCCGAGAGAAGAAAGAUGAAGAAACUUUUGAAGCAAGAAGCUAAAGGGGCUAUUCGUGAACUGCGUAAGGAUAAUUCUUUCCUGUACGAGGUGAAGGCAAGGGAUAAGGCGCUGAUGGAAGAAGAAAAAGCUGAGAAAUAUGGAAAGGUACGACUUUUCCUACAAGAACAAGAACACACUAUGAAUUCUGGGCAAUUAGGCAAAGGCAAAGGCAAGAAGAGAAGGCGAUGAGUUUGGUUGUUUUGGUUGCGUAGUACCUUCUCAUGACUUUUGCCUUCAAGGUCAAGGUAUGGCGGCCUUGCAUCGCGGACGUUAAGGGA